GCUCGCUUCAGCAGCACGUUCUAACAUUGGAACGAUACAGAGAACAUUAGCAUGGCCUCUGCGCAAGGAUGGCCCGCAAAUUUGGGGAGUGGUCCAUAUUCUU